rnacentral:rRNA from 1 species
CGUGUAGGCGGUUUGGUCAGUCAGAUGUGAAAGCCCUGGGCUUAACCCAGGAACUGCGUUUGAUACUGCCAAGCUUGAAUUCGGGAGAGGUGAGUGGAAUUCCCAGUGUAGAGGUGAAAUUCGUAGAUAUUGGGAAGAACACCGGUGGCGAAGGCGGCUCACUGGACCGACAUUGACGCUGAGGCGCGAAAGCGUGGGGAGCAAACA